ACUUGAUGGUGUGGGCAUUUACGAAGUAGGUCCCUGAAGCGCUUCCAAGUCUCAAAGACAAGUUCCCCAUCCAUUUGUGUGAAACUUGUGAUUGCCCUUUGUAGCU